AUGAGUUCAGAGCCCCCAACUUCAGUAACUGACUUCUCAAGUGGCUCCAAACGCGCGGCUCCGAACAGCGACCCCGCGACCCCGAGGCGCCCGCUCCCCCGCUGGGCCGCCCGACGCUCGCAGGCUGCCUCCCGCCACCGCGGGUGCACUCCAGGGGCGGGGAAGGCGCGUCCCACACCCGCUCAGGCGGGACUUAAAGCCCUGGUUCUCAGCCUAAAACGUGGCCCGCACGUCCGUCACCAACUCCGGAGCCGCCGCUCGCCCCCGGCGUUACCGCCCACACCCGCGCCGGCCACGCCCGCGGCCACACCUGAGCCGCCCGCGUUACCCGCCCGCGGCCACACCUGCGCCGGCCACACCCGCGCCGACCCCUCCCCCGCGGUUCAACCCAAGGCCCGGCCGCCCCGCCCGCGUUACCGCCCACACCCGCGGCCACACCUGAGCCGCCCCGCGUUACCCGCCCGCGGCCACACCCGCGCCGCCCCCUCCCCCAGCCACGCCGCCCACACCCGGGCCGUCCACACCCGCGCCCCCCGCCGGGCCCCCCCCGCCCCCCGCCCCGGUCUCGGGCAGCCCGGGUUCCCAGGCGCGGGGCUUGGGGGCGUCGGUUUCGCGGCUCCUAACGGCCGCCGGCGCGUGCCCCAGGCCAUUGCCCAGGCGGCGAGGGCGGGGGGGGGCAUCUGGCCGGCGAGCGCAGAGGUGGGGGGGCUCCCCGGGGGGCUCCCCGCCCCCAGCGACGAGCAGAGCGCGGGCGGCCUUGCCCCGCGUCCAGGGGCGGCACCUCGCCUCCUAACCUGCCGCCUCCCGGAGCCUCAGAACGACCCGCGGGGCCCGGAGGGGCCUCGGCGCUCGUGUGAAAAUCAUCCUUGGCUCUAUCCACUUCCACCCUUCCCACAUUUGGACAAUCGCCAAAUCUUGACCUCUUCAAGCUGUCAGUUGCAUCUGCUCCUUCCAGUGGCCAGUACCCUUGUUUACCCUUUGUUGUCUUGUUUUCAUGCCUAAUCUUACCUUCCUACACUAGAUUGUUAAGUCCCACUGAGACCAUGCUCUACACCUUCGGAAUGAAUUUAAAUUGAAUAGGCCAAAUAAACCUGUCCCCACCCACCA
rnacentral:lncRNA from 12 species